AGAGUUUGAUCCUGGCUCAGAACGAACGCUGGCGGCAUGCCUUAUACAUGCAAGUCGAACGAGAAAGUCACUUCGGUGGCGAGUACAGUGGCGCACGGGUGAGUAACGCGUAGAUGAUCUACCCUUCAGUCUGGGACAACUCUUGGAAACGGGAGCUAAUACCGGAUAAAACCUUCGGGUUGAAAGAUUUAUCGCUGGGGGAUGAGUCUGCGUACCAUUAGCUUGUUGGUGGGGUAACGGCCUACCAAGGCGACGAUGGUUAGCGGGUCUGAGAGGACGAUCCGCCACACUGGAACUGAGACACGGUCCAGACUCCUACGGGAGGCAGCAGUAGGGAAUAUUGCGCAAUGGGGGCAACCCUGACGCAGCAAUGCCGCGUGAGUGAAGAAGGCCUUCGGGUCGUAAAGCUCUUUUAUGGGGGAAGAUGAUGACGGUACCCCAUGAAUAAGCACCGGCUAACUACGUGCCAGCAGCCGCGGUAAUACGUAGGGUGCGAGCGUUGUUCGGAAUUACUGGGCGUAAAGGGCGUGCAGGCGGAUUGGCAAGCCGGAGGUGAAAGCCCGGGGCUCAACCCCGGAGGGUCUUUCGGAACUGCCAGUCUUGAGAGGGUCAGGGGCCAGCGGAAUUCCUGGUGUAGAGGUGAAAUUCGUAGAGAUCAGGAGGAACACCGGCGGCGAAAGCGGCUGGCUGGGGCCACUCUGACGCUGAGGCGCGAAAGCGUGGGGAGCAAACAGGAUUAGAUACCCUGGUAGUCCACGCCGUAAACGAUGGGCACUAAGCGUCCGACGGGUUCGACCCUGUUGGGUGCUGCAGUUAACGCGUUAAGUGCCCCGCCUGGGGAGUACGGUCGCAAGACUAAAACUCAAAGGAAUU
rnacentral:rRNA from 1 species